rnacentral:tRNA from 1 species
GUGGAUGUGGCUUGAUGGUAGAGCACUUGCCUAGAAUGUGCAAGGUCUUGGGUUCAAUCCCCAGCAUCACACA